rnacentral:rRNA from 1 species
GCGUUGUCCGGAGUUACUGGGCGUAAAGCGCACGCAGGCGGUGCUGCGCGUUUGGGGUUACAGCUCCCGGCUCAACCGGGAGAGCGCCUCGAAGACGGCAGCACUUGAGGGCCAGAGAGGGACACGGAACUCCGGGUGGAGUGGUGAAAUGCGUAGAUAUCCGGAAGAACACCAAAGGCGAAGGCAGUGUCCUGGCUGGUACCUGACGCUCAGGUGCGAAAGCUAGGGGAGCGAACGGG